rnacentral:rRNA from 1 species
AUACGGAGGAUGCGAGCGUUAUCCGGAUUUAUUGGGUUUAAAGGGUGCGCAGGCGGCCAUUUAAGUCAGCGGUUAAAUCGUGGGGCUCAACCCCAUUCUGCCGUUGAUACUGGGUGGCUUGAUUGCGGUCGAGGUUGGCGGAAUUCGUUGUGUAGCGGUGAAAUGCAUAGAUAUGACGAAGAACACCGAUUGCGUAGGCAGCUGACCAGACCGCAAAUGACGCUCAUGCACGAAAGUGCGGGGAUCGAACAGGAUUAGAUACCCUGGUAGUCCGCACAGUAAACGAUGAAUACUUGUUUUCGGCGAUAUAAUGUCGGAGGCAAAGCGAAAGCGAUAAGUAUUCCACCUGGGGAGUACGCCGGCAACGGUGAAACUCAAAGGAAUUGACGGGG